rnacentral:tRNA from 1 species
GGUGGCUCAGUGGUAAGAGUGCAUGCCUCACAUGCAUGAGACCAUGGGUUCAAUUCCUCAGCACCA